CCUACGGGGGGCAGCAGUGGGGAAUAUUCGACAAUGGGGGGAACCCUGAUCCAGCGACGCCGCGUGAGUGAAGAAGUAUUUCGGUAUGUAAAGCUCUAUCAGCAGGGAAGAAAGAAAUGACGGUACCUGACUAAGAAGCCACGGCUAACUACGUGCCAGCAGCCGCGGUAAUACGUAGGGGGCAAGCGUUAUCCGGAUUUAAUGGGUGGAAAGGGAGCGUAGACGGCGAUGCAAGUCUGAAGUGAAAGGCGGGGGGCCAACCUCCGGACUGCUUUGGAAACUGUAUGGCUGGAGUACAGGAGAGGUAAGUGGAAUUACUAGUGUAGCGGUAAAAUGCGUAGAUAUAAGGAGGAACACCAGUGGCGAAGGCGGCUUACUGGACUGUAACUGACGUUGAGGCUCGAAAGCGUGGGGAGCAAACAGGAUUAGAUACCCGAGUAGUC
rnacentral:rRNA from 1 species